CAAGGAUCGGGCACUCUGACUGAGCCACCCAGGCACCCCAAAACAACUUUUUCUCCCCUAAUACUGAAGACAUCAGCAGAGUUAAGAUGUUCUAAAUGUAACCUCUCAUCUACUCCUAUUAACCUAUGGUGUGCAAAGCAUAUCCUUUUUAAAUUUUGAGGUAGCUGAUUGAAAGAAAAUGUGUGUGUGUGUGUAGUAACUAUUUAAGAGACAUUGUAAAUGAACUCUGUUCUGCAAGUAAAACACAUGAGGAGAAGCAAUCUUUAGUGAGAGGCAGGAAAUUAAAAAAAAAAAAAAAAAAAAAAACCCAUUCCCAUUUUUUAAAACAUCAAGUGCUCUGGAUUAUUCUGACUUAAAAGAGGGAACAUUUACUGCUGAUCACCAUGUGCUCUGUUCAUGCCCUGAAUUCGUGGGGGAGAUCACAACUUUGUCACACGGAGCAGAAGAGAAACAGUUGUCGGAGUUUGACACAUUUUCCAAUAGAAGAAAAAUCCAGUUGCCAACUACAUAUGGGUUCAUUUUGGGUUCCUGGAACUGAUAACACAUCAGCAUGUCUUACGAAACUUGUGCAUGGCAUGUUAUUGCAGCUGUAUAUCAUCAGAGAGAAAAAAAUAAUUGGUUUUCCUUAGAGUAUCUCGAAGUUGAUGUCAUAUUCAAUAACCCUGUAGUUGAAAAAUCUAUAUAUGAUGGAUGAAGUUUGGACUAUCUUGAAUUUAAUUCCUCCUGUGCCAGCUUCUACAGGCCCUGGUCUACCUGUCAUUUUGAGCCGACGAACACACGUGGUUACAGAAGAGCAAACCUCCCCACCUUGGUUUAUGCAUCCCUAAUUUGAAAUGGAGAAGAACUGUUCUGGGAAGAGUACAGGACCGAAUGAAACCGAUCAGGCAGGCUCCGAGAAGUGCCUGGAUGUUGUAAUAACUUGGGUGUCAAGAACCCGCUAAAGGGGAACUAUCAUUUCCAUGAUAGAGCAAGGGGUGUCUAAGCCUACCGAGAGCCUUGGGGCCACAACAUCACUGGGGAAGCGGACCAACCCGUGGCCACUCAAAAGCGGUACUAAUGACCAAGUGCCCUGGAGCCCAAGCCGGCCUCCGGCAUGGGCUUCUGCACAACAAAAGACAGAAUGGCAAGAGAGCAAAAGUGAUGGGGACAGGGUAAGGAAGGGAACCCCCACCUCUGAAGCGGUGAACAGCACUGGGGAGGGACAGGACUGGGGACCUGGAACUCCUCUGUCCUUGGACACAGAAAAAAAAAGCCAUGGUUUAAAAGAGCGCCGAGCUAGCUCAGUCCGUUAGCGUCCGACUCUUGAUUUCAGCUUAGGUCAUGAUCUCACAGUUUGGAAGUUCAAGCCCCAUGUGGGGCUCUGCGCUGUGUCAGUGUGGAG